AUCUACAGCUAUGCCACCCUGAACAAGCAUGAUGUCUGAUCUUGGAAGCUAAGCAGGUUGGGCCUGGUUAGUACUUGGAUGGGAGACCACGUAGGAAGACCAGGUGCUGUGGGCA
rnacentral:rRNA from 1 species